ACGCGAAGAACCUUACCUGGGCUCGAAAUCUUGUUGACAGUCUCAGAGAUGAGAUCUUCCCGCAAGGGACGGCAGGAUAGGUGCUGCAUGGCUGUCGUCAGCUCGUGUCGUGAGAUGUUGGGUUAAGUCCCGCAACGAGCGCAACCCUCACCCUUAGUUGCUCGUCCGCAAGGAAAGCACCCUAAGGGAACUGCCUCGGAUAACGGGGAGGAAGGUGGGGAUGACGUCAAGUCCUCAUGGCCUUUAUGUCCAGGGCUACACACGUGCUACAAUGGCCGGUACAAACCGUCGCUAACCCGCGAGGGGGAGCCAAUCGGAAAAAACCGGUCUCAGUUCGGAUUGCAGGCUGCAACUCGCCUGCAUGAAGCUGGAAUCGCUAGUAAUCACGUAUCAGAACGACGUGGUGAAUACGUUCCCGGGCCUUGUA
rnacentral:rRNA from 1 species